rnacentral:rRNA from 1 species
ACGGCUGCUCAGGCCCGCGUGGACAACCUGCCCUCGGGUGGGGGAUAACCCCGGGAAACUGGGGCUAAUCCCCCAUAGGUGAUGGGUGCUGGAAUGCCCCAUCUCCGAAAGCGCUUAGCGCCCGAGGAUGGGUCUGCGGCGGAUUAGGUAGUUGGUGGGGUAACGGCCCACCAAGCCUAAGAUCCGUACGGGCUGUGGGAGCAGGAGCCCGGAGAUGGACCCUGAGACAAGGGUCCAGGCCCUACGGGGCGCAGCAGGCGCGAAACCUCCGCAAUGCGGGAAACCGCGACGGGGUUAGCCGGAGUGCCCGUGCAUUGCACGGGCUGUCGGGGUGCCUAAACAGCACCCCAUAGCAAGGGCCGGGCAAGGCCGGUGGCAGCCGCCGCGGUAAGACCGGCGGCCCGAGUGGCGGCCACUCUUAUUGGGCCUAAAGCGUCCGUAGCCGGCCCAGUAAGUCCCCCGGGAAAUCUGGUCGCUUAACGAUCAGACUUCCGGGGGAUACUGCUGGGCUAGGGACCGGGAGAGGCCGAGGGUAUUCCCGGGGUAGGGGUGAAAUCCUGUUUUCCCGGGAGGACCACCUGUGGCGAAGGCGCUCGGCUGGAACGGGUUCCGACGGGUGAGGGACGAAUGCCUGGGGAGCGAACCGGAUUUAGAUUCCCCGGUUAGUCCAGGCUGUAAUCGGAUGCGGGGCUAGGUGUC